UACGGAGGGUGCAAGCGUUAUCCGGAUUCACUGGGUUUAAAGGGUGCGUAGGCGGGCUUGUAAGUCAGUGGUGAAAGCCCGGAGCUUAACUCCGGAAUUGCCGUUGAUACUGCAAGUCUUGAGUACAGUUGAGGUGGGCGGUAUACAUCAUGUAGUAGUGAAAUACUUAGAUAUGAUGUAGAACACCGAUUGCGAAGGCAGCUCACUAAAGUGUAACUGACGCUGAGGCACGAAAGCGUGGGGAUCAAACAGG
rnacentral:rRNA from 1 species